rnacentral:rRNA from 1 species
UACGUAGGGUGCAAGCGUUAAUCGGAAUUACUGGGCGUAAAGCGUGCGCAGGCGGUUGUGUAAGGCAGAUGGGAGAUCCCCGGGCUCAACCUGGGAACUGCAUUUGUGACUGCACAGCUGGAGUGCGGCAGAGGGGGAUGGAAUUCCGCGUGUAGCAGUGAAAUGCGUAGAUAUGCGGAGGAACACCGAUGGCGAAGGCAAUCCCCUGGGCCUGCACUGACGCUCAUGCACGAAAGCGUGGGGAGCAAACAGG